rnacentral:rRNA from 1 species
AUUGAACGCUGGCGGCAGGCUUAACACAUGCAAGUCGAGCGGGGGAAGGUAGCUUGCUACCGGACCUAGCGGCGGACGGGUGAGUAAUGCUUAGGAAUCUGCCUAUUAGUGGGGGACAACAUCUCGAAAGGGAUGCUAAUACCGCAUACGUCCUACGGGAGAAAGCAGGGGAUCGUCGGACCUUGCGCUAAUAGAUGAGCCUAAGUCGGAUUAGCUAGUUGGUGGGGUAAAGGCCUACCAAGGCGACGAUCUGUAGCGGGUCUGAGAGGAUGAUCCGCCACACUGGGACUGAGACACGGCCCAGACUCCUACGGGAGGCAGCAGUGGGGAAUAUUGGACAAUGGGGGGAACCCUGAUCCAGCCAUGCCGCGUGUGUGGAGAAGGCCUUAUGGUUGUAAAGCACUUUAAGCGAGGAGGAGGCUACUCUAGUUAAUACCUAGGGAUAGUGGACGUUACUCGCAGAAUAAGCACCGGCUAACUCUGUGCCAGCCGCCGCCGUAAUAC